rnacentral:rRNA from 1 species
UACGAAGGUCCCUAGCGUUGUUCGGAAUUAUUGGGCGUAAAGAGCUCGUAGGUGGUUUUGUAAGUCAGGUGUGAAAGCCCCGAGCUUAACUCGGGAAGUGCACUUGAAACUACUUAACUUGAGUACGGAAGAGGUGAGUGGAAUUCCUGGUGUAGUGGUGAAAUACGUAGAUAUCAGGAGGAACAUCGGUGGCGAAGGCGGCUCACUGGUCCAGUACUGACACUGAGGAGCGAAAGCAUGGGGAUCAAACAGG